CAAUAGGGUGGCCGCAUGCCUCAGAAAACUUGGGGUCCCGCCCUUGC
rfam:Hepatitis C virus subtype 1a polyprotein gene, complete cds.